CGACGGGUGAGUAACACGUAUCCAACCUGCCGUCUACUCUUGGACAGCCUUCUGAAAGGAAGAUUAAUACAAGAUGGCAUCAUGAGUCCGCAUGUUCACAUGAUUAAAGUAUUCCGGUAGACGAUGGGGAUGCGUUCCAUUAGAUAGUAGGCGGGGUAACGGCCCACCUAGUCUUCGAUGGAUAGGGGUUCUGAGAGGAAGGUCCCCCACAUUGGAACUGAGACACGGUCCAA
rnacentral:rRNA from 1 species